GCGGCAGGCCUAACACAUGCAAGUCGAGCGGAUGACGGGAGCUUGCUCCUUGAUUCAGCGGCGGACGGGUGAGUAAUGCCUAGGAAUCUGCCUGGUAGUGGGGGACAACGUUUCGAAAGGAACGCUAAUACCGCAUACGUCCUACGGGAGAAAGCAGGGGACCUUCGGGCCUUGCGCUAUCAGAUGAGCCUAGGUCGGAUUAGCUAGUUGGUGGGGUAAUGGCUCACCAAGGCGACGAUCCGUAACUGGUCUGAGAGGAUGAUCAGUCACACUGGAACUGAGACACGGUCCAGACUCCUACGGGAGGCAGCAGUGGGGAAUAUUGGACAAUGGGCGAAAGCCUGAUCCAGCCAUGCCGCGUGUGUGAAGAAGGUCUUCGGAUUGUAAAGCACUUUAAGUUGGGAGGAAGGGCAGUAAGUUAAUACCUUGCUGUUUUGACGUUACCGACAGAAUAAGCACCGGCUAACUCUGUGCCAGCAGCCGCGGUAAUACAGAGGGUGCAAGCGUUAAUCGGAAUUACUGGGCGUAAAGCGCGCGUAGGUGGUUUGUUAAGUUGGAUGUGAAAGCCCCGGGCUCAACCUGGGAACUGCAUCCAAAACUGGCAAGCUAGAGUACGGUAGAGGGUGGUGGAAUUUCCUGUGUAGCGGUGAAAUGCGUAGAUAUAGGAA
rnacentral:rRNA from 1 species